rnacentral:rRNA from 1 species
UACAGAGGGUGCAAGCGUUAAUCGGAAUUACUGGGCGUAAAGCGUGCGUAGACGGUUAUUUAAGUCGGGUGUGAAAGCCCCGGGCUCAACCUGGGAAUUGCAUUCGAGACGAAUAGCUAGGGUGCGGAAGAGGGAAGCGGAAUUUCCGGUGUAGCGGUGAAAUGCGUAGAUAUCGGAAGGAACACCAGUGGCGAAAGCGGCUUCCUGGUCCCAGCACCGACGUUCAGGCACGAAAGCGUGGGGAGCAAACAGG